rnacentral:misc_RNA from 1 species
CGCGGUUCGUUCGUUUCGUUUUUCACCACAGAAUAUGUUAAUCUUUGUCGAGAACGUAUGCCUUUGUAUUGAUUAACGAUUGGCACGUGUACGAGCAUACUUAUACAGAACACGUGUCAAAUUGCAAGCAUAAAAGGAAGAAUAGAACACGCUUAUCCCAACUCCAACUCGAUUACUUACCUCACAGCGAACAGCUCGUUAUCGUACUGGUCGAUUACAGGUACAAACGACCGCAAACCUUACCAGUACGUCGCGAAUCGUGUACGUUCCAAGAUUAUUUGAGCCAUGAAUUCUCGCGAGCGUUGCUUGUUAUUUUAUACCAGGAAUUCAUGAGAAUACGCCGUUAAGAAAUAUGCAACGGAGGAUGAAUCACUUAAAAAUUAGGAGUUGGUGAGGGUUCGUGACAGAUAUACAGAGUAAACGCGGAAUAUGUAAAUGAGCUUCGUAAAGUUACAAUGGAUAUUCGUAGAAGUGGAAGGACGUUAAUUUUUCGUGUUCAAGGUCCGGCAUUCGUUGAUAUAGUAAAUGUAACAAUAUUGAGCAUGAAACAAUAAUAUAAUUAUAAUUCUCUUCACAUUUCCUUUCAUCCAGGAGAAAUUAUAAACGUGACUUGAUCACUUGGACGUCGAUAUAAAAAAAAAAAAGAAACGUAAUAACACAAGAACAAUUUGUCGCUUCUUUUCCUUUUUUUUUCAUUUUCUAACUUGAAUAUAAAAAAAAUAAAUUCGCGUUCUCGCA